rnacentral:tRNA from 1 species
GACACUUUGGCCGAGUGGUUAAGGCGGUGCCCUGCUAUUGUUGUAAACAAUGAAUAAGGCAUUACAUUCGUGUGCGUAGGUUCGAAUCCUGCAGGUGUCG